rfam:Danio rerio unplaced genomic contig NA704, GRCz11 reference primary assembly.
GCCCGGCUAGCUCAGUUGGUAAAGCAUGAGACUCUUUAUCUCAUGGUCGUUGGUUCGAGCCCCACGUUGGGCG